rnacentral:lncRNA from 1 species
GGCUGUUCCAGACCCUGUUUAUCUGAGUUAGGAAUGGAAGUUCUAGCAGGAGGAGCAAAGCCUUCCCUGGCCUCUGGCCCAAGAGAGGUAUGAGAUCAUUAAGGAAUAGGAAGAAGGCCAUGGGUUAGGAAAGUGAGUUGUUGAGGGCCUUUGGGGGCUGGCUUACAGAACCCGUGAUUCUUCUGACCUCAUGGGGCCCUGUUGCACGUGCUUAGCAUCCUUCACACUAACUGCUGUUUCUUCCUGUGAUGACCCAAGGAAUCCUGCCAGCUCCGGACAGGGCUUGUAGAGAUUCUUAUCAGGAAGGGAUUAUACCAAUUUGGCAAGGAGAGCUCUUCCAGAUUUCUUGUUCUAGCAGACCUCUUAAUGGAACAGGCAGAGGGAAGGGAGAGUUGAUCACUCACCUAGCCAAAAAGAAGAGCUAUAUUAUAUUCUCUUGGACUGGCCUGAGCAUCCCACUUUGGCAAUUAAAAAAAGGUUUUUAACUUUU